UACGUAGGGUGCAAGCGUUGUCCGGAAUUAUUGGGCGUAAAGAGCUCGUAGGCGGUUGUCGCGUCUGCUGUGAAAACCCGAGGCUCAACCUCGGGCCUGCAGUGGGUACGGGCAGACUAGAGUGCGGUAGGGGAGAUUGGAAUUCCUGGUGUAGCGGUGGAAUGCGCAGAUAUCAGGAGGAACACCAAUGGCGAAGGCAGAUCGUCUGGGCC
rnacentral:rRNA from 1 species